CAUAUUCACAUACACUAUUUACAUUCAUAUAACCCUUCUGUGUUUGGGUGUGUUCACUUUCUUCUCCAGUCUGCUUCAGACUGUGUAGUUAAACCUCUCCAGUCUGCUUCAGACUGUGUAGUUAAACCUCUCCAGUCUGCUUCAGACUGUGUAGCUAAACCUCUCCAGUCUGCUUCAGACUGUGUUGUUAAACCUCUCCAGUCUGCUUCAGACUGUGUAGUUAAACCUCUCCAGUCUGCUUCAGACUGUGUAGUUAAACCUCUCCAGUCUGCUUCAGACUGUGUAGUUAAACCUCUCCAGUCUGCUUCAGACUGUGUAGUUAAACCUCUCCAGUCUGCUUCAGACUGUGUAGCUAAACCUCUCCAGUCUGCUUCAGACUGUGUAGUUAAACCUCUCCAGUCUGCUUCAGACUGUGUAGUUAAACCUCUCCAGUCUGCUUCAGACUGUGUAGUUAAACCUCUCCAGUCUGCUUCAGACUGUGUAGUUAAACCUCUCCAGUCUGCUUCAGACUGUGUAGUCUUGUGUAGUGGUGGUAGUGUGUCUGUAUUUCAGACUUGUGUAGCGGUGGAAGUCUGUAUUUCAGACUGUGUAGUCUUGUGUAGUGGUGGUAGUGUGUCUGUAUUUCAGACUUGUGUAGCGGUGGAAGUCUGUAUUUCAGACUGUGUAGUCUUGUGUAGUGGUGGUAGUGUGUCUGUAUUUCAGACUUGUGUAGCGGUGGAAGUCUGUAUUUCAGACUGUGUAGUCUUGUGUAGUGGUGGAAGUCUGUAUUUCAGACUGUGUAGUGGUGGUAGUGUGUCUGUAUUUCAGACUGUGUAGUCUUGUGUAGUGGUGGUAGUGUGCCUGUAUUUCAGACUUUGCACCAGUGGAGGCUGCUGAGGGGACGACGGCUCAUAAUAAUGGCUGUAAUCGAGUCAAUGGAAUGGUAUCGAACAUGUGGUUCUUAUGUGCUUGAUACCAUCCCAUUGACUCCAUUCCAGGCAGUACUAUGAUUCACCCUCCCCUCAGCAGCCUCCACUGCUGUUUAGUGGUGGUAGUGUGCCUGUAUUUCAGACUGUCUAGUAGUGGUAGUGUGCCUGUAUUUCAGACUGUGUAGUGGUGGUAGUGUGCCUGUAUUUCAGACUGUGUAGUGGUGGUAGUCUGCCUGUAUUUCAGACUGUCUAGUAGUGGUAGUGUGCCUGUAUUUCAGACUGUGUAGUGGUGGUAGUGUGUCUGUAUUUCAGACUGUGUAGUGGUGGUAGUGUGCCUGUAUUUCAGACUGUGUAGUGGUGGUAGUGUGCCUGUAUUUCAGACUGUGUAGUGGUGGUAGUGUGUCUGUAUUUCAGACUGUGUAGUGGUGGUAGUGUGCCUGUAUUUCAGACUGUGUAGUGGUGGUAGUCUGCGUUUCGCUCAGAUUAAAAUGUAUAACUAGAGGGAGGGUAUUUCUUUAAUAAACUGAGUUCCACAGAGACAGCUCAUUAUUAAAAUCCUAAACAAACUUACGUAACAUAGUGUUCAUCCCAAAUGGCACCCUAAUUCCCUACAUAGUGCACUACUUUUGACCAGAAUCCUAUGGGCUCAGGUCAAAAGUAGUGCACCACAUAGGGAAAAUGGUACCGUUUGGGACAUACAUGCAUCUGAGGACUAUGGCCCUGGCUGUAAGAACCUACUGGAGUCUGUUGCCACCUAGUGGAAAUAUUGCUCAAUGACAUCACACUGGAUCUAAAAGUUACUACGCUUUUAUUGAUACAGUCCUGAUCCUAGAAUUCAAAUUCCAUGGAAUUGGCAGCAGUUGGAAUGUUGAAUGUUGAAAAUCCCUCCUGUAUGAUGAAAGUGUUCUCAGUCAAAAUAAAAAAAGAUAUGUUAUACAUGACCAUAGCGGCAGGUAGCCUAGUGGUUAGAGCGUUGGUCCAGUAACCGAAUCCUCAAUCCUCGCUAUUGAAUGGCAGACCCUGGCCGUGACCUCACUUUCCAAGGAAUAGGAUAUGCAAAAAAUACAUUUCCAAUUCACACAUGCGUAUUAAUACACACUUGUACAUGUGUGAAAUAGGACAAAUGCAAGCACCCAUCAAAUUAUUAUGAUUUAUUAUUAUUAUUAUUGUUAUAGAUACAUCAUGACACAAUGCUAUUUGCAAUGGAAAAUCCCAGUAAUCACAGAAUGAACUAAUGCAAUACAGACUAUUUUGUGCUAUUCUGGGUUUUUCAUUUGUAAUCUUAAAUUGUUUUGCUAAUGAAUAACUACCCCUCCCUAAUCCAGCUACUGCAGUACCAUUAUGAUACGAUAUAUGUGUGCCAGUGUGUAAAAAUAUGGUAUAACAUACAAAUUACAAAACAUUAUAGAUUACCUGAGGUUACGCAGGUCGGAAGUUGAUCCGUGUGUGUGUGUGUGUCUGUGUGUGUGUGUGUGUGUUACUAUUUAUCAGGGUUCAGUAGGCUAAAAGUGAUUACCAAGUCCGUCUCACUCUCGCACACACACACACACAGACACACACACAGACACACACACACACACACACACACAUAUGGACAGUAGGACAGACUGACGAGAACGCAGGCACCAGGGCUAAACUGCCAAACUCCACGUUUCCUGUUUCUGACAGCAAAGAGCGCACAGUGCGUUAUCUGUCACAGAACACACAUACACACACACUCUUUCUCUCUCACACACACAUCCAGCGGCCACAACAGCAGCCGGCACAG
rnacentral:lncRNA from 13 species